UCGGAUAUAGAUGCUCUUGCCCCCCUUUUUUUACUUGUUUACUAGUGGCGUCGCACAGACGUCUCAGACGCCGACUAUAGAAUGCGGUAUUGCUAAUUUUCUUUUUGUUUUGUUUCUUUUUACCUUUUCGUUCUUUUUAAACAUGUCAUUUUCCACGAGUUAGGCGUAAACGAUUUUUAUCUCCCCGCUUUGUGGGAUCAUUUGCUGUUGUAAAUUGUUAAAUACAGUGUUCUCGAGAAACACAUUAAUCUUAGUAAGAUUUUUAAGAAAACAAUAUAAGUUUAACUUCACCUGUUUGUAAUACAAUUUGUUUAUAUGUACCUACAACAAAUAACAUUUGGCAUUGUUAUGCUUGGAAUUCCAUUAGCGGCGAACAAACAUUGAAAAUCAAUCCAAGAGGACAAACAUCAAUUGGUGCAGUUUCUUCAACCCAAGACUUGAUAUGGAGCGUUUAUGAUGGUCUAUCAAAAAGAAAAAAAGGAUAAUGAAUGUUCGCAUUAUUGUGAUUCACUCUUUACUUACUCUUUAGAGAAUAGAAAGGAAAGAAACUAUAUUUAAAAUACAUUGGUAUUGAGAAGAAAGAAUAUUUCUAGAAGCCUGCUCGAGUUUUGAUACAAUGUGUGAGAAAAAUGCUACUGAAUACAUUUUUUCAAAUUGAAGUAACGUAUUUUAUAUUAAAAAUACAAUAAAAAAAGAAGAAACUUUAAAAAUACAACACAAUAUUUAUGAAAAAAUAGAAUGAAGAGUGUAAAAAAUAAAGUGAUUAUGCAGUGGUAAUGACGGACUUGGAACAAGUGUUCGCUCGAGUUUUGAUACAAAACGGUAAAGAAUAAUAAUUAUUACUAUAAACUAUUUCUUUUCAACAGUUGUAACAUAUUUUUCCUCAUUUGAAACACAAAGUAUAAAAUCAAAUAUUAAUUACAUUUUAAUGAAACCUGAAGAGACAAAUGAGAUUUUGUUAAACAAAACGGAAACCGAAACAUGAUGAAAUGCCGAAAUAGGAUGCCAGACACAACAAAAACAAUAAAUUUAUGUUCCAGACCUAUUCGGUUUCCCAUUGGUCGCCCACCCAAUGACGUCACUUGAUGAAAAAGAAAGAAUGGCCAGCUAGGUGAGGCAAGGAUAGACGUGCUGCAAUUUCUUACACAUUUUCUUUUUCAUUCAUUAUUUAAAGACCUUGAUUUGGGACUACGGAGAAACCUUACCAUGUGAAUGACCUUCUUCGACGCACAUUUUUGCCGUCGCUCUCUUCUGGAUAAGGAAAAAUAUGUUUAAAAAAAACAUCUCAGAUGCAGACAUAUAAUUAACAAGUUUUACAGCUUUCAAGACAGAUGGAAGUGAAAGAUAAAGUUAAGAAAUUUUAUAGAUAAAGCAGUUCUAUAAUUUUGUGGUAAUAAAGUUAUCAAGCUGCAAAGUAGAACACUGUGUUAAGUAAAAUCGUAAAAUGCAACUUGGUAUCCGCUGGACUUCUUAUGCAUACCAAUAUUUUUUUCAUAAAACAUAUUUUUGGUAACAUUUUAAAAUUGAAUGUAAAUGUUAAAGGUCAUUGAAGUACAUUUAUGAUUUGAAAUUAAAUAGGAAAGGAAACCAUAAAAGAGAAAUAAAAAUUUGUUAAAAAAUAGCGUGAGGAUUUAUAAGAAUAGGUCAGACUUUUUUUUUUUUCCAUAAGUAAAAUUUUACAGCAAGCUGAUUUUUAGUAUUGUUUACUGAUAGGCUUUUUAUAAGUUUCUUCAAUUUUCAUUCGAUAACAAGAAUUAAGGGCUUGGGUCGAUUUAACGACAAGAUAAACUUUUUAUAAAUAUGUCUUUCUUUUUAUUUAAGUCAAUCUGUUCAUUAUUGUUUCUAGAUAGGUGUUAUGCGAGUGUUUGAAAUUCCUAUUGAUAACAAAACAAUACACAUAGAAACAUCUUUUUCUUCCAUUGAAAUCGUAGUGUUUUUUGUUUGUUUUUUUCCCCUUUCUUCAUUGAUUAUUUUGAAACUAUGACUUAUGUUGUUCCAUCUGUGGGAAAGAAGUAUGGUGGAAACUUCCUGAAUAUGGUAAAAUCAACUGUAUUUCAUUUCUAUGGAAACACCGAAAGUUUCACGAAUUUUUUCCGAAGCAAUUUGGUAAUGAUUUUGAUGAAAUGAACAAAAAAAUAUGGUUUGUUAAUGUGUGACAAAAUUUGGCAAAUGGAGUAAAAUUUGGUAAUUUUAUCAUGAUACUUCAGAGCGUGGCAUAAAACUUAUCCAUUCGUUUAAAUUUGCUCUUAGUUUCGUAUUCUUUAAUAAACGUGUGGUA
rnacentral:lncRNA from 1 species